rnacentral:rRNA from 1 species
CAGCCGCCGCGGGAACACGAAGGGGGCUAGCGUUGCUCGGAAUGACUGGGCGUAAAGGGCGCGUAGGCGGUUUAUACAGUCAGAUGUGAAAUUCCUGGGCUCAACCUGGGGACUGCAUUUGAUACGUAUGGACUUGAGUGGAGAAGAGGGUCGUGGAAUUUCCAGUGUAGAGGUGAAAUUCGUAGAUAUUGGAAAGAACACCGGUGGCGAAGGCGGCGACCUGGUCUUCAACUGACGCUGAGGCGCGAAAGCGUGGGGAGCAAACAGGAUUAGAUACCCCAGUAGUCCCUGUCUCUUAUAC